UGGGGGAUAUUGCACAAUGGGGGAAACCCGUGAUGCAGCAACGCCGCGUGAGGGAAGACGGUUUUCGGAUUGUAAACCUUUGUCUUUGGUGAAGAAGAAAGUGACGGUAGCCAAGGAGGAAGCCACGGCUAACUACGUGCCAGCAGCCGCGGUAAUACGUAGGUGGCAAGCGUUGUCCGGAAUUACUGGGUGUAAAGGGAGCGCAGGCGGACCGGCAAGUUGGAAGUGAAAACCAUGGGCUCAACCCAUGAAUUGCUUUCAAAACUAGCUGGCCUUGAGUAGUGCAGAGGUAGGCGGAAUUCCCGGUGUAGCGGUGGAAUGCGUAGAUAUCGGGAGGAACACCAGUGGCGAAGGCGGCCUACUGGGCACCAACUGACGCUGAGGCUCGAAAGUAUGGGUAGCAAACAGGAUUAGAUACCCUGGUAGU
rnacentral:rRNA from 1 species